rnacentral:tRNA from 1 species
GCCUGGGUUCGCUAAAUGGUAAAGCGGAGCGUCUUAGAAACGCUUGUCCCCCCGCGGGGAAACUGUCGGUUCGAGUCCGACCCCAGGUA